rnacentral:misc_RNA from 1 species
UAAGAAGAAGUCGAGCAAGUUAGCCAAUAUGACGGAGGAAGAGAGAAUCGCUUAUGAAGAACAGAAAGCCUUGGCAGAGGAGGAACUGAGGAAAAAGAAGGAGAACAUGCUCACCCAGUUCUUAAAGGAUAAACUGACAAAAGAAGAGAGAUCAACAAAGUUUAACAUCAACAAACUAAAUCACCAAUGGAGAAACAUAAUGAGAGAGAACAAAUCCAAGGAACUGAAGAAAGAUCUGGAAAUUCUGAGUCAAACGUUUGAGAGGAUCGUAGACAGGAAGGAUGCCACCAUUAAGGCUCUUGCAAAGGAUCUCCAGGAGGCUGAUGAACAAUACUCAAUGGCACUGAGGGCACAUUUACAGAGUACAGACAAUCUCAUAGAUCAACACAAGAGCCGGAUCGAGUUCCUCCGGAGGCAGUACGAUGAUGAGCUGGCUGUGAUCACGGAGGAGUUUGAUACGGAGCGAGCUAUCAUGUUGGACCAGCACAGCCGGGAAACGAACGAGAUAUCCGACAUCCUCUUUGCCAUGGACCAGAACUUUCAGGAGCGAGAGAGGGAGGCAAAGUCUGACUUUCAGAGUUUGGUGGAUGAGAUUCGGAAUAAAGAUAUGGAGGAAAUGCAUGGUUUGCGACAUCAGCUGACAGAAAAAUUCAACUUCUACUGGAAUGCAUUUGAGCAAGCUCGUAAAAACUACCAAGAGAAUAAUGCAGAGAGGAAAGCUGCCUUUGAAGAAUUGAAGGAGAAGGAUGAUAAGUCUGCACAAGAAAUUGACUUUCAAAUGAGAAAGCUACAGAGGAUUUCUGUAAGAAUCAUGAUGUCUGUGACUCUACCUCAACCCUGGCUUAAUUAUUUUGAUUUACCUGUCUACAAUAUGUAAUUAUUUUUGCAGGAAAAUAUUGCACAACUUAAAUCUAAAAUGGCAUCAAAUGCGAAGGAGAAUGAACAAAGGAACAGGUCCAUAAAAGAGGAAAGGGAGAGAAUGCUGGCCCACCUCCAGGAUUUAAAGGCAGAGAUGAACAAACUAAGAGACGGAGAGCGAGCAAAGCUUACCAAGAUGACCGUUGAAAGCAACACUGCCAUCAAAACUAUGAAAUCCAAAGUGGAAAAAGUGAAGAAUGUAAUAACAAUGGCAGAAAUGUGUCGACGGCUGGAGACGGAGGAGGAGAAAGUUCUGCCGUUUUACGCCUCCUCCCUCACAGAGGAAGAACAACAGGAUGUGGAGUCAGCCAUACAGGAACAGCCGUACGAAAAACUCUCACUGAUAAUGCACGAGUUUACUUCCCUUGAGAACUUCUGGAAGCGCUUUAACAAGGUGACCUUGGACAAGUUGGCACUGGACAAGGAGAAGCAGACACUGGUCCAGGAGAACACACAGCUCCGCAGUCUGCUCAAACAGUACCUGGAUGGAAUCUCAGUCAACGACGAGAUCCUGAGUCAGGUCAACCCCCUCCUGGUAGUCAACAACAGGACUAAUGUCAACUUGAAUGUUCCUGUCAGCGACCCACGUGUCAGACGACCGGUCCCUCAGACGGUAGUGGAGGCGGCCACUCAUUCCCGCCAACUCAAACUCACAUGAUGUCAUCAUCUGUAGAUGACGUGUGGUUACACGUGAUGGCUAAUUUACAGUAGACUGGAAUACAGUUGAAUAAAGUUUCUGUCUACGCAAGACUAUUGACAAUAUUUAACUUUAAAAUUUGCAUUUGUUUUACAUAAACUCUAGUAAAAUAAACUUUUUAAAAUC